rnacentral:rRNA from 1 species
UGGGGAAUAUUGGACAAUGGGGGCAACCCUGAUCCAGCCAUGCCGCGUGAGUGAUGAAGGCCUUCGGGUUGUAAAGUUCUUUUGGCGGGGACGAUGAUGACGGUACCCGCAGAAUAAGCCCCGGCUAACUUCGUGCCAGCAGCCGCGGUAAGACGAAGGGGGCAAGCGUUGUUCGGAAUUACUGGGCGUAAAGGGCGCGUAGGCGGUUUGCUCAGUCAGGCGUGAAAGCCCUGGGCUUAACCUGGGAUGUGCGCUUGAUACUGGCAGGCUUGAGUGUGGGAGAGGUUGGUGGAAUUCCCAGUGUAGAGGUGAAAUUCGUAGAUAUUGGGAAGAACACCGGUGGCGAAGGCGGCCAACUGGACCACAACUGACGCUGAGGCGCGAAAGCGUGGGGAGCAAACA